rnacentral:rRNA from 1 species
UACGUAGGGUGCAAGCGUUAAUCGGAAUUACUGGGCGUAAAGGGCGCGUAGGCGGCCACCGCAAGUCGACUGUGAAAUCUCCGGGCUUAACCCGGAAAGGUCAGCCGAUACUGCGGGGCUAGAGUGCAGAAGGGGCAACUGGAAUUCUCGGUGUAGCGGUGAAAUGCGUAGAUAUCGAGAGGAACACCUGCGGCGAAGGCGGGUUGCUGGGCUGAUACUGACGCUGAGGCGCGAAAGCCAGGGGAGCGAACGGG